AUGGCUUCCAGUGCUUUGAUGAAACCUCAGACACAUGGGUUUCAUAUUAUUGGAGCAUUUGUUGCUUCCCUGAGGGUUGCAGCUCUCUAUGUUUGCUCUGACCAAACCAAGGAAGAAGGCAUGUGCAGAUUUUUACAGAAAUUAUGAUUCCAUAAAAGAUUUUGAGGAGAUGAGGAAGGUUGGUACAUUUCAGAGUACAAAG
rnacentral:lncRNA from 1 species